ACACAAAGGUGGAAUAUGCUUCCUGGUCGUAACGCCAAGUGGCGCGCACAGAUUGCAGGGCGCAGUGCCCAACUAGCUCGGCCCCUCGGCUUCCGCCAUUGGCGGUGCCACUCAGCUCACCUAAGCACUCUCUUGACGUGGUGUCUCUCUCUCCGGUGGCGUAUAUUGUCCAUACUGUUGAUUGAUCCUCUCAAUCUCAAGGUUUCUAUCCCUGUUGAAGUAUUACUGUAUUAAUUGUCCAGCAGAGGCGACUGAGAUCAAUUGCCGCCUUGGAUGUUGCUCGUCGGGAGUUUUGUUAAUGAGGUUUGUUUUUGUCCCACCGAGCAGGUGUUCCGGAAAAUCAGUUCUAUUAAUCGUCACUCCGGCGGUGAAGUUUGGAAAAAUCGGUAUUUUUGGUGGUGUCGAUGGGAUGCAGUUUUGAUUUAGGGUUUUGAUUGACUGCCUACUUUCAGAUUUUGGUGCCAUCACUGCCAUGGGUCGACGCACGUUCUUCACGGAAGAGAAAGAGAAUUGUGAACUGAGAUGGCCAUGAAUGGUGGUUUGAUGAACAAUUAGUGGGGAGGAAUGAGGGAGAACUGGAGCAGGGUUGGGGGUGGGGGGGAAUGGCCUUGUGGCUAUGUCCUAUUCAUCUUCGUUGAUGACCUCGAAGAGCAUCAUCAGAGAGCCAAACGGAAACAUUAAUUUCAGAAAAGCAAUUUCAAAGGGAAACAACAAAACAGAUGUGGCAAACAAAUUCAAAAGCCAAAAUUGAAAAGAGAGUGAGGUUUUCGAGGCAGACAGCAAGAGCACCAUUAUAGAGGUCAGAGCAAUUUCGGGGGAGGGGAGACACAGAGGCAUAAGAAAUCUAAAGAAGGAUUUAUUCCCCUUUGUAUUUGCUGGCUGUCUGCAGUAGCUAGCAAUUAGGGACUGUGACAAAACAAAUUCAAAGACCCAUUUGAUACCAUACCUGGAGUCCGCAGGGCCUGUGACAAAACAGCAACGGCGAGAAGCCGCAGCACGCGCCCGAACUCAUCUGUGAUGCACUAUUUAUUGCAGAGCCGCAGACAAGGAGUAGGAAGGUGAGAAUCACGAGUCACAACAGAGGGUUGGCCAUGCCUGCGCUGAUUCUGCCUCAGGCUUGCUAAGGAAACCCAAGGUUUAAUAAGGGAACUGGCUCACAAUAGGAAGAGAAUAAUUGUGGGACAUUCAAAAAUUCAAAUUGGGAACGUGGGGCGCAUUAAUGUCAUGCGUCAAGUACUCAUUAACAAAGGUUCAUUCUGUUCCCCCCACCCCCCAUCCUUUUCGUCUGUCUCUGAAACUUCCAUAGAUAGGGAGAGCCAAAUUUGGAAAAGAAAACUAGAAAAGUUGGUUUUUAUUUUUAUUUUUUGGGGAUUUUUUAGUUCUUUUGUUAUUGCGGUUUGAAUUUAUAUUUUUUUUAGAAAGAUGGUUUGAAUAA